UUUGAGGGUUUGUUUUGCUCAGAAAUAAACACAACUUCGUUUGGAAUUCGAGUCAAUGUUUCCCCGGCGGGGAGAUACUUUGUGUCUGUUCUAAAGCUGAGAUAUUUUGUAACCGAUACAUAUUUUCCUGCUGACGUCACAGAGAGUAGGGAGAUACUUUGUAACAAUUCGCGGAUAUUUAGUAACCGCCUCGCGGACGCUUUAAAUCUGUUCUACGAGGGAAAUACAGACCAAAUAAGCAAAGUAAUCAGGAAUGAAAGUCUGAAAUGCACAUGCUUGCAGUCACAGGGCUUGACACCGCCUGGGCUGAAGCUUUGGACGGAUUCGCAGCGGUUUUACCACACAAUAGUGUCCAGAUUGCCUCACUAUAGCUGUUUGUGUCGAAUCAUAAACUCGCCACUGGAACGAGACUCCUCUUACACAGAAUAUUUUGCCUGGUCGCAUACGAACGUAUAUAGACCGUCAGUGUGCAAUAAAGAGAUAUUUCUCCACAUAAUCCCACACUAUGCAUGGGCUGUGUCCGAGCAGUUCAGACUCUUCAGCAGAGGAAAAUCACUUUCAAAAGCUCCUUACCUUCUUCCACAAGAGAUCUACCAGCCAGGGCGCUUCAAGUGACGUAACAAACCGGGAUGCGCGCGCCCGACACUGGCCUCCAUGACCGUCGUGACGUGCACGAGCUCUACUGCACUUAUGCGAGGUGGCACCACAUUGGAUGAUAUGCUGGUUAUUUACAG